rnacentral:rRNA from 1 species
AGUGAACGCUGGCGGUAGGCCUAACACAUGCAAGUCGAACGGCAGCACAGUAAGAGCUUGCUCUUACGGGUGGCGAGUGGCGGACGGGUGAGGAAUACAUCGGAAUCUACUUUUUCGUGGGGGAUAACGUAGGGAAACUUACGCUAAUACCGCAUACGACCUACGGGUGAAAGCAGGGGAUCUUCGGACCUUGCGCGAUUGAAUGCGCCGAUGUCGGAUUAGCUAGUUGGCGGGGUAAAGGCCCACCAAGGCGACGAUCCGUAGCUGGUCUGAGAGGAUGAUCAGCCACACUGGAACGGAGACACGGUCCAGACUCCUACGGGAGGGAGCAGUGGGGAAUAUUGGACAAUGGGCGCAAGCCUGAUCCAGCCAUACCGCGUGGGUUAAGAAGGCCUUCGGGUCGUAAAGCCCUUUUGUUGGGAAAGAAAAGCAGCAGGUUAAUACCCCGCUGUUCUGACGGUACCCAAAGAAUAAGCACCGGCUAACUUCGUG